rnacentral:lncRNA from 12 species
CCCCUGCUGGUCCUCCUGGGCGGGGGGUGGCCGCAAGGGCAGCUAGCUUUCUCCUCCAGCCCCUGGCUGCUCCUCUCUCCCCUGGGAAGGAGAAGCACAGGCCAGUCCUUGGGUGAUUUCUCCUACGUCUAUGUGCCGGGGUCCCCAUCACCCCCGCCGCUGCGCAGCACGGCCCGCAGCAGACCUCGUCCUCUCACUUUGCAGGGGCUGCAGCCAGGGCAGCGAGGCUCUACGCCCGGAGCUGGCCUGGCAUGGGCACGGCCAGUCGACUGGAAAAGGUGCCAGCCGGCUCCUGGAGCAGGUGUCUUGGAGCAGAGCUGUUUGCAGUGGCCAGAGACCCUCCGUAUUCCUGGACUCACGGGUUCUCCUGUGACUUUGAGUGGCCUGGAAGGAGGACACUACAAUGUAAUAAUGAUGAAGGAGAUGCCAACCCUCCCACCUCUGCUCUUGGGCUGGAUGACUUCGCAGGGGGGUGAGUGCCAUCCCCAUCCCCUACUGGUUCGGUAGGGAAGGGAAUGAGAACAGAUCGGAACACAUUUAGAGAAGGGUUGGGGCUUCAGAGUCAGGACUUCACUGGGAAAAAUCUCAGGAAAUGAGAUCUGUGUAUCAACAUUGAGUUAUGACUAAUGGGUUCCAGCAGCUCUAGCUUUGGAAAAUAACUUAGGGGCCUGCGUUUAGCAAAGACGAAUCCUUUACCGUGGUUAAUAGCAAGUGGACCAAGUGAGGAAAAGUAGCUCCUUAUGAAAGCAUUCUGAGGUGAUGGAUCAUCUGAAAGGAGGUGGCUGCUACCCAGACUCUUUAAAUGUGUUGCUGGAAGGAUACCUGGGUGGCUCAGCAGUUAAGCGUCUGCCUUCAGCUCAGGAUGUGAUCCUGGAGUCUUGAGAUCGAGUCACACAUUGGGUUCCCUCCAUGGAGCCUGCUUCUCCCUCUGCCUGUGUCUCUGCCUCUCUUUCUCUGUGUCUUUCAUGAAUAAAUAAAUAAAAUAUUAAAAAAAACA